GAUGAAGAACGUAGCGAAAUGCGAUAAGUAAUGUGAAUUGCAGAAUUCCGUGAAUCAUCGAAUCUUUGAACGCACAUUGCGCCCCCUGGCAUUCCGGGGGGCAUGCCUGUCCGAGCGUCAUUUCUGCCCUCAAGCCCGGCUUGUGUGUUGGGCGUGGUCCCCCCGGUUUAGGGGGGACCUGCCCGAAAGGCAGCGGCGACGUUCCGCCUAGGUCCUCGAGCGUAUGGGGCUUUGUCACCCGCUCGGGAGGGGCCUACGGGCGUUGACCAUCCACCAUUUAUUUUUUUUACGGUUGACCUCGGAUCAGGUAGGAGUUACCCGCUGAACUUAAGCAUAUCAAUAAGCGGAGGA
rnacentral:misc_RNA from 1 species